rnacentral:rRNA from 1 species
GUCGAGCGGACAGAUGGAAGCUUGCUCCCUGAUGUUAGCGGCGGACGGGUGAGUAACACGUGGGUAACCUGCCUGUAAGACUGGGAUAACUCCGGGAAACCGGGGCUAAUACCGGAUGGUUGUUUGAACCGCAUGGUUCAAACAUAAAAGGUGGCUUCGGCUACCACUUACAGAUGGACCCGCGGCGCAUUAGCUAGUUGGUGAGGUAACGGCUCACCAAGGCAACGAUGCGUAGCCGACCUGAGAGAGUGAUCGGCCACACUGGGACUGAGACACGGCCCAGACUCCUACGGGAGGCAGCAGUAGGGAAUCUUCCGCAAUGGACGAAAGUCUGACGGAGCAACGCCGCGUGAGUGAUGAAGGUUUUCGGAUCGUAAAGCUCUGUUGUUAGGGAAGAACAAGUAUCGUUCGAAUAGGGCGGUACCUUGACGGUACCUAACCAGAAAGCCACGGCUAACUACGUGCCAGCAGCCGCGGUAAUAUGUAGGUGGCAAGCGUUG